rnacentral:rRNA from 1 species
CCUACGGGGGGCAGCAGUGAGGAAUAUUGGUCAAUGGCCGGACGGCUGAACCAGCCAUGCCGCGUGAAGGUCAGUGCCCUAUGGGCGUUAAACUUCUUUUGUGCGGGAGCAAUAAUGGUCACGUGUGGCCAGACGACAGUACCGUACGAAUCAGCAUCGGCUAACGCCGUGUCAGCAGCCGCGGUAAUACGGGGGAUGCAAGCGUUAUCCGGAUUUAUUGGGUUUAAAGGGUGCGUAGGCUGUGAGGUAAGUCAGCGGUGAAAUGCCCCCGCUCAACGGGGUGAAGUGCCAUUGAUACUGCCGUGCUGGAAUGCGGAUGCCGGGGGAGGAAUGUGUGGUGUAGCGGUGAAAUGCAUAGAUAUCACACAGAACACCGAGUGCGAAGGCAUCUCACGAAGCCGCGAUUGACGCUGAUGCACGAAAGCGUGGGUAUCAAACAGGAUUAGAUACCCUUGUAGUC